CCUACGGGAGGCAGCAGUGAGGAAUAUUGGUCAAUGGUCGGGAGACUGAACCAGCCAAGCCGCGUGAGGGAGGAAGGUACAGAGUAUCGUAAACCUCUUUUGUCAGGGAACAAAGGCGGGGACGUGUCCUCGGAUGAGUGUACCUGAAGAAAAAGCAUCGGCUAACUCCGUGCCAGCAGCCGCGGUAAUACGGAGGAUGAGAGCGUUAUCCGGUUUUAUUGGGUUUACGGGGGGCGCAGGCGGUUUGUUAAGUCAGCGGUAAACGCCCGGGGCUCAACCCCGGCCCGCCGUUGAAACUGGCAGUCUCGAGUUGGAGAGAGGUAUGCGGAAUGUGCGGUGUAGCGGUGAAAUGCAUAGAGAUCGCGCAGAACUCCGAUUGCGAAGGCAGCAUGCCGGCUCCACACUGACGCUGAGGCACGAAAGCGUGGGUAUCGAACAGGAUUAGAUACCCGUGUAGUC
rnacentral:rRNA from 1 species